UAAUUGAAGAGUUUGAUCAUGGCUCAGAUUGAACGCUGGCGGCAGGCCUAACACAUGCAAGUCGAGCGGCAGCGACUUAACUGAACCUUCGGGGAACGUUAAGGGCGGCGAGCGGCGGACGGGUGAGUAAUGCCUGGGAAUAUGCCCUGAUGUGGGGGAUAACUAUUGGAAACGAUAGCUAAUACCGCAUAAUCUCUUCGGAGCGAAGAGGGGGACCUUCGGGCCUCUCGCGUCAGGAUUAGCCCAGGUGGGAUUAGCUUGUUGGUGAGGUAAUGGCUCACCAAGGCGACAAUCCCUAGCUGGUCUGAGAGGAUGAUCAGCCACACUGGAACUGAGACACGGUCCAGACUCCUACGGGAGGCAGCAGUGGGGAAUAUUGCACAAUGGGGGAAACCCUGAUGCAGCCAUGCCGCGUGUGUGAAGAAGGCCUUCGGGUUGUAAAGCACUUUCAGUAGGGAGGAAGGUAGUGUAGUUAACACCUGCACUAUUUGACGUUACCUACAGAAGAAGCACCGGCUAACUCCGUGCCAGCAGCCGCGGUAAUACGGAGGGUGCGAGCGUUAAUCGGAAUUACUGGGCGUAAAGCGCAUGCAGGCGGCCUGUUAAGUCAGAUGUGAAAGCCCGGGGCUUAACCUCGGAAUUGCAUUUGAAACUGGCAGGCUAGAGUCUUGUAGAGGGGGGUAGAAUUUCAGGUGUAGCGGUGAAAUGCGUAGAGAUCUGAAGGAAUACCAGUGGCGAAGGCGGCCCCCUGGACAAAGACUGACGCUCAGAUGCGAAAGCGUGGGGAGCAAACAGGAUUAGAUACCCUGGUAGUCCACGCCGUAAACGAUGUCUACUUGGAGGUUGUGGCCUUGAGCCGUGGCUUUCGGAGCUAACGCGUUAAGUAGACCGCCUGGGGAGUACGGUCGCAAGAUUAAAACUCAAAUGAAUUGACGGGGCCCGCACAAGCGGUGGAGCAUGUGGUUUAAUUCGAUGCAACGCGAAGAACCUUACCUACUCUUGACAUCCAGAGAAGCUUGAAGAGAUUCGAGUGUGCCUUCGGGAACUCUGAGACAGGUGCUGCAUGGCUGUCGUCAGCUCGUGUUGUGAAAUGUUGGGUUAAGUCCCGCAACGAGCGCAACCCUUAUCCUUGUUUGCCAGCACUUCGGGUGGGAACUCCAGGGAGACUGCCGGUGAUAAACCGGAGGAAGGUGGGGACGACGUCAA
rnacentral:rRNA from 1 species